rnacentral:rRNA from 1 species
AGUGAACGCUGGCGGUAGGCCUAACACAUGCGAGUCGAACGGCAGCACAGUAAGAGCUUGCUCUUACGGGUGGCGAGUGGCGGACGGGUGAGGAAUACAUCGGAAUCUACUUUUUCGUGGGGGAUAACGUAGGGAAACUUACGCUAAUACCGCAUACGACCUACGGGUGAAAGCAGGGGAUCUUCGGACCUUGCGCGAUUGAAUGAGCCGAUGUCGGAUUAGCUAGUUGGCGGGGUAAAGGCCCACCAAGGCGACGAUCUGUAGCUGGUCUGAGAGGAUGAUCAGCCACACUGGAACUGAGACACGGUCCAGACUCCUACGGGAGGCAGCAGUGGGGAAUAUUGGACAAUGGGCGCAAGCCUGAUCCAGCCAUACCGCGUGGGUGAAGAAGGCCUUCGGGUUGUAAAGCCCUUUUGUUGGGAAAGAAAAGCAGCAGGUUAAUACCCCGCUGUUCUGACGGUACCCAAAGAAUAAGCACCGGCUAACUUCGUG